rnacentral:rRNA from 1 species
CAGCAGCCACGGUAAUGCGAAGGGGGCUAGCGUUGCUCGGAAUGACUGGGCGUAAAGGGCGCGUAGGCGGUUUUGACAGUCAGAUGUGAAAUUCCUGGGCUUAACCUGGGGGCUGCAUUUGAGACGUCAAGACUAGAGUGUGAGAGAGGGUUGUGGAAUUCCCAGUGUAGAGGUGAAAUUCGUAGAUAUUGGGAAGAACACCGGUGGCGAAGGCGGCAACCUGGCUCAUUACUGACGCUGAGGCGCGAAAGCGUGGGGAGCAAACAGGAUUAGAUACCCCGGUAGUCCCUGUCUCUUAUAC